GACGGAGGGGGCUAGCGUUGUUCGGAAUGACUGGGCGUAAAGGGCGCGUAGGCGGUUUAUUAAGUGAGGCGUGAAAGCCCCGGGCUUAACCCGGGAGGUGCGUUUCAUACUGGUAGACUUGAGUGCGAGAGAGGAAAGUGGAAUUCCUAGUGUAGAGGUGAAAUUCGUAGAUAUUAGGAAGAACACCAGAGGCGAAGGCGGCUUUCUGGCUCGCAACUGACGCUGAGGCGCGAAAGCGUGGGGAGCAAACAGG
rnacentral:misc_RNA from 1 species